GAGGAUUGGCUGAGUGGUUUAAAGCGGCGGUCUUGAAAACCGUUGAUGUGAAAGCAUCCGCAGGUUCGAAUCCUGUGUC
rnacentral:tRNA from 1 species